UAUCUCUGUAGAGUCUGCAUAUCAAUAAGCGGAGGAAAAGAAACUAACUAGGAUUCCCUCAGUAACGGCGAGUGAAGCGGGAAGAGCUCAAAUUUGAAAUCUUCAAGGUUUUACCUUGACGAAUUGUAGUUUAAAGGAAGUGUUUUCUGUUGGAGUUUUGGUAAAAGUUCUUUGGAAUAGGACAUCAUAGAGGGUGAGAAUCCCGUAUUUGACCAUUAUCUUCCAACUGUGUGAUACACUUUCAAAGAGUCGGAUUGUUUGGGAAUGCAGUCCAAAAUGGGUGGUAAAUUUCAUCUAAAGCUAAAUAUUGGCGAGAGACCGAUAGCGAACAAGUACCGUGAGGGAAAGAUGAAAAGAACUUUGAAAAGAGAGUUAAACAGUACGUGAAAUUGUCAAAAGGGAAGCGUUUGACACCAGUGUUGUUUUCUCGAAAAUCAAUUAAAAAGUGGUUGAUUUUGUAUUGUUAUGACCUUAUCAAGCUUACUGUCACUUUUUUCCUGCUCUUUUUAAUGCACUUUUCGUUUAACUAGUCAACAUCAGUUUCUUUUGUUGUAAAAGAGUCAUUGGAAGGUGGCUUUCUACUUCGGUGAAAGUGUUUAUAGCCUUUGGCUUCUGCAAUCGGAGAGAUUGAGGUCUGCAGCGUAGAUCCUUCGGGGUUAGAUACAUUAGAUGCUAAGUUAUAGCUUUUUAUAGACAACUUGUUGACUAUGAUUAGUCAUGUAGCUUACUCGUUUGCGCUAUUUUACCUACGCUUAGGAUGUUGAUCUCUCACAGUCGAGC
rnacentral:rRNA from 1 species